rnacentral:rRNA from 1 species
UGGGGAAUCUUGCGCAAUGGGCGAAAGCCUGACGCAGCAACGCCGCGUGGAGGAUGAAGGCCCUUGGGUUGUAAACUCCUGUCGGCUGGGAAGAAAUCGUUCGGAGCUAAUACCUCCGGGCGUUGACUGUACCAGCAAAGGAAGCCCCGGCUAACUCUGUGCCAGCAGCCGCGGUAAUACAGAGGGGGCCAGCGUUAUUCGGAAUUAUUGGGCGUAAAGGGCGCGUAGGCGGCCACGCGUGUCUUUCGUGAAAUCCCUCGGCUUAACUGAGGACGUGCGGAAGAAACUGCGAGGCUCGAGUCCGGGAGAGGGGGGUGGAAUUCCCAGUGUAGCGGUGAAAUGCGUAGAUAUUGGGAGGAACACCGGUGGCGAAGGCGGCCCCCUGGACCGGUACUGACGCUGAUGCGCGAAAGCGUGGGGAGCAAACGGGAUUAGAUACCCCGGUAGUCCACGCCGUAAACGAUGGGCACUUGGUGUCGCGGGUAUCGACCCCUGCGGUGCCGAAGCUAACGCAUUAAGUGCCCCGCCUGGGGAGUACGGUCGCAAGGCUGA